AUUGUUUCGAGCCGACUCUUUUUUUAAUUGAAAAAGGGUUGGAUCGGUAUUGAGGGUUUUUUGCCAUUCACCGUGGCUCCCUCGAAAUACAUUAGCGCAUCCAUUUGAUAGGCAAGAAUGGACGAAAGCUCAAUUUUUUCGCUCUUUCUUUUCCUGCCGGGUUUUGAUAAUAUCAGGACUUCGGAGGCAAAGAAUUGGGUACGAGCUGGACGCAACGUUUUUGCUGUUUGGUGUGCUUCUGAACCCCGCCCAUGCUUCCUCUGCGAAGAAGGGAAAAAUAAAUAAUU
rnacentral:misc_RNA from 1 species